rnacentral:rRNA from 1 species
UACGUAGGGUGCAAGCGUUAAUCGGAAUUACUGGGCGUAAAGCGUGCGCAGGCGGUUAUGUAAGACGGAUGUGAAAUCCCCGGGCUCAACCUGGGAACUGCAUUUGUGACUGCAUAGCUAGAGUACGGUAGAGGGGGAUGGAAUUCCGCGUGUAGCAGUGAAAUGCGUAGAUAUGCGGAGGAACACCGAUGGCGAAGGCAAUCCCCUGGACCUGUACUGACGCUCAUGCACGAAAGCGUGGGGGAGCAAACAGG